UUGAAAGGGAAACGAUUGAAGUCAGUCGUACCAGCGGGAAAUCAACCUUUCGAGUGGGGGUUUUGGAGUUUUGAAGAGUGUCAAAACCUUUGAGAUUUCAAAAUAUUCGCUCUUUUGGUGUACUUUCUCGUGGGUAGGUUAACAUCGAUUUUGAUCAUCAUAAAAAGAUUGGAGGAAUGUAGCUUCGAUCUUGUAUUGAAGUGUUAUAGCCUUUGGUAAAUGUGAUGAUUAGGAUCGAGGAUUGCAACGAAUACCCUUUUGGGCUAUCCGCCUGAUCUCUGAUACGUGGCCUUGGUAUCGAAAGCUUGCUUAUGGUAUCAAGGUAUUACGGUCAAAAGGUUAGAACGGAUUACAUUCGUUAAGGAUGUUGACGUA
rnacentral:rRNA from 1 species